CUUGCUUGGGAGGAAGAGAAACCAUUGCCAUUUUUUCACCUGACACAUUUUCAAAGGGAAUAAUAUGUUUUCCUUCCUGGUAUUUCUGCUCAGUGAUGAUCUAACAUGCUGUUCUGGCGAACACUUAAAGACAGGCUGGAAGCCCUUUCAGCAUUUUUUCCUUCUGGGCACUAAGAAUGAAGAGAACUGCAAUCAGAGCUGGUUUCCAAACAAUGUAUAAUCUGAUGAAGUGUUUGUGCCUUCUGCCGGUUGCAGCACAGUGUUCUACACCUUCCCGGGUGAAGGUCUACCCCAUGGGAGCAACAGAGGGACACGAUGUGAGGAACACUGAGGCUUCUGUUUCCACAAGAUCUUGAAUGGGAGUUGACAAUAAAAUUACUACUAAAAAUUAUAGUUGGCAAUAAAAUUACUACUGAAAUA